UACGGGGGGAGCAAGCGUUGUUCGGAUUUACUGGGCGUAAAGGGCGCGUAGGCGGCCACCGCAAGUCGACUGUGAAAUCUCCGGGCUUAACCCGGAGAGGUCAGCCGAUACUGCGGGGCUAGAGUGCAGAAGGGGCAACUGGAAUUCUUGGUGUAGCAGUGAAAUGCGUAGAUAUCAGGAGGAACACCAGUGGCGAAGGCGGGUCCCUGGACAACACCUGACACUGAGGCACGAAAGCUAGGGGAGCAAACAGG
rnacentral:rRNA from 1 species